UACGGAGGAUCCGAGCGUUAUCCGGAUUUAUUGGGUUUAAAGGGAGCGUAGGCGGGUUGUUAAGUCAGUUGUGAAAGUUUGCGGCUCAACCGUAAAAUUGCAGUUGAUACUGGCAUCCUUGAGUGCGCGGAAGGCAGGCGGAAUUCGUGGUGUAGCGGUGAAAUGCUUAGAUAUCACGAAGAACCCCGAUUGCGAAGGCAGCCUGCCGCAGCGUUACUGACGCUGAAGCUCGAAAGCGCGGGUAUCGAACAGG
rnacentral:rRNA from 1 species